rnacentral:rRNA from 1 species
GAUGAACGCUGGCGGCGUGCCCAAUACAUGCGAGUCGAGCGAACAGAUAAGGAGCUUGCUCCUUUGACGUUAGCGGCGGACGGGUGAGUAACACGUGGGUAACCUACCUAUAAGACUGGAAUAACUCCGGGAAACCGGGGCUAAUGCCGGAUAACAUUUAGAACCGCAUGGUUCUAAAGUGAAAGAUGGUUUUGCUAUCACUUAUAGAUGGACCCGCGCCGUAUUAGCUAGUUGGUAAGGUAAUGGCUUACCAAGGCAACGAUACGUAGCCGACCGGAGAGGGGGAUCGGCCAGACGGGAACGGAGACACGGUCCAGACUCCUACGGGAGGCAGCAGUAGGGAAUCUUCCGCAAUGGGCGAAAGCCUGACGGAGCAACGCCGCGUGAGUGAUGAAGGGUUUCGGCUCGUAAAACUCUGUUAUUAGGGAAGAACAAACGUGUAAGUAACUGUGCACGUCUUGACGGUACCUAAUCAGAAAGCCACGGCUAACUACGUGCCAGCAGCCGCCGUAA